GGUGUGGCUCAGUGGUAGAGCGUCCGCUUUGCAUGCCUGCAUAGGUUAUCAACCGCUGCGGAAGGCCCUGGUUUCGAUCACCAGCGUAAGCA